GACGAACGCUGGCGGCGUGCUUAACACAUGCAAGUCGAACGGAAAGGCCCUGCUUUUGUUGGGUGCUCGAGUGGCGAACGGGUGAGUAACACGUGAGUAACCUUCCCUUGACUUUGGGAUAACUUCAGGAAACUGGGGUUAAUACCGGAUAGGAGCUCCUGCUGCAUGGUGGGGGUUGGAAAGUUUCGGCGGUUGGGGAUGGACUCGCGGCUUAUCAGCUUGUUGGGGGGGUAGUGGCUUACCAAGGCUUUGACGGGUAGCCGGCCUGAGAGGGUGACCGGCCACAUUGGGACUGGGAUACGGCCAAGACUCCUACGGGAGGAAGCAGGGGGGAAUAUUGAAAAAUGGGCGGAAGCCUGAUGCAGCAACGCCGCGUGCGGGAUGACGGCCUUCGGGUUGUAAACCGCUUUCGCCUGUGACGAAGCGUGAGUGACGGUAAUGGGUAAAGAAGCACCGGCUAACUACGUG
rnacentral:rRNA from 1 species